rnacentral:rRNA from 1 species
AUUGAACGCUGGCGGCAGGCCUAACACAUGCACGUCGGGCGGAGCGGCGGACGGGUGAGUAAUGUAUGGGGAUCUGCCUGAUGGAGGGGGAUAACUACUGGAAACGGGCGCUAAUACCGCAUACUAUCAGAUGAGCCUAGAUCGGAUUAGCUAGUUGGUGGGGUAAAGGCAUACCAAGGCGACUAUCCGAAACUGGUCUGAGAGGAUGAUCAGUCACACUGGAACUGAGACACGGUCCAGCCGCCUACGGGAGGCAGCAGUGGGGAAUAUUGGACAAUGGGCGAAAGCCGGAUCCAGCCAUGCCGCGUGUGUGAAGAAGGUCUUCGGAUUGUAAAGCACUUUAAGUUGGGAGGCGUUACCCACAGAAGAAGCACCGGCUAACGUCGUGCCAGCAGCCGCGGUAAUUC